rnacentral:lncRNA from 1 species
CGGUGGCCAGUCUGGGAUCCAGGCAGCGGUCCACCUCUUCUUUUAGUUCUCAAGAUUGUGGAUGUGCUAUUUAGAGGCAGAUCCAUGCGUCUGAAGCUUGGAAGUGAGCCUAGGAGUUUAUAAACAAGUUUACAGUGUCAUUUACCCAAGCUCCUCUCUCUCCAUGAUCUACCUGUUGCUUCUGGUUCCCUGUGGCUUCCUUUGCAAUCCUCCAGACAGAAAACUAACGUUUCAUCUGCCCUGCUUUUCUUUACACUCGCCACAGCUACAAUCAUAUUUCAGGCUUGAAUUUGGUGAAAACAUUCCUCAUGUCUGGGAAAUGAGCAAGAUGGAAACAGAAAGUCAAGGAAAAUGAAGAAAAAAGGGAAUAUUUCCAAACAAAAGAACAAGAUAAAACUUCAGAAACAGAUCUUAAUGAAAUGGGGGAUAAGUGACUUACCUGAUAAAGUGUUCAAAAUAAUUGUCAUAAAGAUGCUCACUGAUGUCAAGAGAACAAUGAGGGAACAAAGUGAGAGUUUCAACAAAGAUAUAGAAAACAUAAUAAAGUACCAAACAAGAAUCUCAAAGCUGCAGACGAUAAUGACUGAACUGAAAAAUUCAAUAGAGGGAUUCAACAGCAGACUAGAUCAAGUAAAAGAAAAGAUCAGUGAAUUCAAAGACAGGGCAGUGGAAUUCAUCCAAUCGGAGGAGCAAAAAGCAAGAAAGAACGAAAAAGAGGGAAGAUAGCUUAACGGACUUAUGGAAUAGCAACAACUGUGGCCCAAUAUAUGCAUCAUAGGGGUCUCAGAAGGAGAAAACAGAGAGAAAGGGGCAGAAAGUUUAUUCAAAAAAAUAAUGGCAGAAAAUUUCCCUAAAACCUGGAGAAAGAAACAAACAUCCAUAUCCAGAAAGCCCAGAGGUUUCAAAUAAGAAGAAUCCAAAGAGAUCUACACCAAGACAUAGUACAACCAAACUGUCAAAAGUUAAAGACAAGGAAAGAAUCUUAAAAACAGCAAGAGAAAACCACUUGUUAUGUACAAGGGAACCUCCAGAAGACUAUCAGCAGAUUUUUCAGCAGAAACUUUGCAGGCCAGAAGGGAGAAGCAUAACAUACUCAAAGUGUUGAAAGAAAGAAAAAAAAUCCCAACCAAGAAUAUGCUACCUGGCAAGGUUGUCCUUCAAAACUGAAGGAGAGAGAAGGAAUUUUCCAAACAAGCAAAAGUUAAAGGAGUUUAUCACCACCAGACUGGCCUUACAAGAAAUGAUACAGGGAGUUCUUCCAGCUGAAAAGAAAAGACAUUAAUUAGAAACAGGAAGACAUAGAAAAGUAUAAAUCCCACUGGUAAAAGUAAAUAUAUAGUUAAAUUCAGAAUACUCUAAUGUUGUAAUGGUGGAUAAAUAACUUAUAAAUCUAGCAUGAAUUUUAAAAGACAAAAGUAUUAAAAAUAACUAUAAUUACAAUAUAAUGCUAAUGGAUACACAAAGUAAAAAAGAUGCAAAUUCUGACACCAAAAACAAAAUAUGGAGACAGAGAGUCAAAAUGUAGAUCUUUAGUAUGUGUUUAAAGUUAAAUUAUUAUCAGCUUAAAAUAGACUGUUACAAAUAUAAGAUGCUUUAUGUAAACCUCAAGAUAACCACAAACAAGAACCUAUAGUAGAUACACAAAAGAUAAAGUGAAAUGAAUCUAAGCAUAUGACUACAGAAAAUCAUCAAAUCAUAAAGGAAGAGAGCAAGAGAAGAAAGGAAUAAAGAAAUUACAAGGGCUAGCCUGGUGGUAUAGUGGUUAAGUUCACUUGCUCCACUUGGGUGGCCUAGGGUUCAUGGGUUCAGGUUCUGAGUGUGGACUUACACACUGCUCAUCAUGCCAUGCUGUGGUGGUGUCCCACAUAUAAAAUAGAGGAAGACCGACACAGAUGUUAGCUCAGGGCCUAUCUUCCUCGCCAAAAAAAAAAAGAGGAAGAAAAGAAAAGAAAUUACAAACUGGCAGAAAACAAUUAACAAAAUGGCAAUAGUAAGUCCAUAUCUAUCAAUAAUAACUUUAAACAUAAAUGUACUAUAUUCUUCAAUCAAAAGAUACAGAGUAACUGAGUGGAUAAAAAAAGAAGACCCAAUGAUACACUGCCUACAAGAGACUCCCUUUAGAUGUAAGGGCACACACAGACUGAAGGUGAAGGAAUGGAAAAAUAUAUUCCACGCAAAUGGAAACCAAAAGAAAGCAGGGGUAGCUAUACUUAUAUCAGACAAAAUAGACUUUAAUCCAAAAACUGUAAAGGAGAAAAAUAAGGUCAUUAUAUAACAACAAAGGGGUCAAUCCAACAAGGGGAUAUAACAUUUGUAAAUAUUUAUGCAUCCAACAUAGGAGCAUUUAAAUAUUUAAGAAAAUAUUAACUGACCAGAAGGGAGAAAAAGACAGCAAUACAAUAAUAUUAGGGAACUUCAAUGCCCCACUUUCAAUAAUGGAUGGGUCAUCCAGCUGUGAGAAGGAAGUAAAUCCUGCCAUUUGUGACAAAAUGGAUGGAUGCUGAGGGCAUUAUGCCAAGGGAAAUAAGCCAGACAAAGACAAGUGCUGCAUAGUAUCACUUAUAUGUGGAAUCUUAAAAAAAAAAAGUCAAAACUUAUAGAAACAGAGAGCAGAAAAGUGGUUUCCAGGGACAAAAGGGGUUGAGGAAAUAGGGAGAGGUUGGUAAAAAGUUACAAACUUUCAGCUAUGAGAUGAAUUUGGUCUGAGGAUCUAAUAUAAAGCAUGGUGAUUAUUCUUGAUAACACUGUAUUAUAUAGUUGAAAUUUGCUAAGAGAGUAAAACUUAAAUGUUCUCACAAAAAAAAUAAAAUAAACAUAUGAGGGGAUAGAUGUGUUAACUAUCUAGAUGAGGAGAAUCUUUUCACAACGUAUACAUAUAUCAUCACAAUACAUAUUUUAAAAAUCUUAUAAUUUUUAUUGUGUUUGUUGAGGAACACUGGCCCUGAGCUAACCUCUGUUGUCAAUCUUUCUUUCCUUUGCUUGAUGGAGAUUGUUGUCGAGCUAACAUCUGUGCCAAUCUUCCUCCAUUCCAUAUGUGAGAUGUCACCACAGCAUGGCUUGAUGAAUUGUGUGUAGGUCUACACCUGGGGUACCCACAAACCCUGGGCUACCGAAGCGGAGAGUGUGAACUUAACCACUAUGCCACUGGGCCAGCUCCAAUCUUAUAAUUUUAUAUAUAAAUUAUACUUCAAUAAAGCUGAAAUUUAAAAGAAAGAAAGAAAAUCAAAGAAUCUGCAGUGAUAAUGCUUUUUGGAAAUAUUAAGGAAGAGGUCCAAACACUAGCAUGAAGGAUUCAUUAGAUGUCGACAGUUGUAAAGGAAUUCUGUUAGUAUCCACAACAGGGUGUGUGUCAGUCUUUGUCCAUUUCCAGCAGCCAUUGAUGAGUGAAGGACUACAUAGUCUCUCAUGGGUGGCCAUGACUUUCCCCUCUAGAGCCGACCAGAGCUGAUCACCAUGAUCUGGGGAUAUAAUUGUGAUGUUUCUUGGGCUGUAGAGCAGUGAAAAUUACACCGUUGCUAACGAGCAGUCAGCAAAACACCAGAGAACCAAGAAACAUAUGUUUUCUCAGGCUCAAACCUCUGGAGAAUCUCCCUAGAUCCAUAAUGUGGUGAUCAUUCUGAAGACUCUAAUAUGCUGAAACCUCUGCCCAAAGUGGUUAGAGGCACAUAGUUUGCAUAUCUUGAUAACGUUUCUAGAAAUCUAAAGUUGUGAUAACUUUAUUUAGCUCGUUCCAAUGUUAAGAUCUUUUCCUGUCAUACCUCUUUGAUCUAAAAUAUUGCCGUACUGUCAGCUCAGCUCAUUUCCUUCUCUUUGUGUUACCCAGAGUCUAACACAUUUUUAUCUUCGUGUAUGAAAAGUUAAAUAAAUUAAAGUAAAUCUCUAUGCAUUGUGGCUGCCCCAAAAUGAAAAUCUCAUACGGACCUAAUCACCUCCAUUGAAACCUAACCUAUCUGGUGUCCCAUCCAUUCUCAAGACCUUUAUUUACUACAUAUAUUAAUUCCUGAAGAUUUGCGUAAAGCCUCUUCAAUCUGAGGUAGCACUUGCAUUUUGGUGGCUCAUUUUGCAGCCUCUACAUCUUAUUCCAAAGAACUAACUCUGGGAGUUUGAGGAGACACAUUUUAAAGAACCCCAAACACUAUCCUAUUACAUUCUUUUAUCAUGCCUGGAUAAACGUCUACUCUGGCCCACCUAUAAUAAAGAAAGUAGACUAUUUUUUCAACAAAGGUGACUUGACAGUAUUUCCAACCCUUUAUCUUCUGUUCUCUUUCAAGACACCCCUAAGUCACCUAUUCGCACACAUCUCUUCUUUUGGAAAGAAGAGUUAUGGUACAGGGCAAGACUGUACUGAUGCUAAGACUUUCAGACUACUAUUGAGUUUCUUUCCUCAGCGUUUGAUGUUUCACUGGCUGGCUGGCUCAGUAUUCACGAUGCUUUGUCAGUGUCUCAAGUUAUGUUUGGAAAAGAACUUGUCCAAAUUCUCCAUUUCUCCUCCACUCACUGCAAUUGGCGGUGGCAUGGCAAUUCUCUUCAAGGUAAACAUGAAGAAACCCGAAGGCGAUAAUACUCGCCUUUCAGUUGGAGUAAUUACCUGGCCUCUACCAACUGCAGACUUCUGCGUGUUGAUAGGACUCAUUCGACAGGUUCUUUUUUAAAAUAGGUAAUGAUCUUUAAAGGAUGAAACCCUACUUCAUAACAUGCAAUUUUGCUAACCACUCUGUUUAGAAAACCGGGUUCCCUCUGGUUUCCCAGCGCUGGUAGCUCCGCUUGACGCAUGAAGUUGGGGCUGCCUCGGUCAUGCCACUUUAGAUUACUGGAUCUCACAGGAUGCUACAAGGCAGACACACCCCAGGCUGACUCACUGAGUGGGAAGUUUAAAAAGAUGGUUUUCCUCAGCCAUCAAUUAGAUAAACCACAUUUUCCAGGAGAAAAACAGCAUCUUGAAAAGCUCUUUACAAACAAAGCUCUCUUGCUCAGAAUGCUUUCGGUCAUGUUUUCUUGUGAAGGGAAGUAUGACUUUAACCUUAAUUGCACUGACAAAUUAGCAAGUAAAGUAUAAUGCCACCCUUUCCCCUCUUCCUUCCUUCCUUCUUCUUUUUUUUUUUUUUCCUCAGAAGGAGACACUUUCAUGAUUUUAGCUUUGGUAAAAUUAGAGCAUUCUUCCUCUUGGCCACUUCCCUCAAAUUUGUGGUUUUGACCAACCACUUGGUGAGCAAGUUAUAGACGCAGGCCUGAAUUCUCUUUCCUCUGCCCCACUUACACUUCUUUGUACAGUUUUCCCUACCUUUUUUGCGACCUUCUUGAAAAUACACUGAGGAAAGGACAUUUGUAGAUUGUACCAUUUUGAAAAUGGCGAUUUGGAUUGAAGAUGUAUGUCAGGAAGAAUUAAGCACUGAAAAGCGAUUUGAACCUCCUCGCCUCAUCUUUUUCCAGCGCUGGCUGCACGCGGAAAGUACUGGAUAAAUGUCUCCCACUGAACUGUAAGAUUCCCAAGGACAAAGGACGUGUUAGUGGUUUCCAUCGCCUGUAUACAGUGUACCUAACACACAUUGAGUAAUAUUUUCAAAAGCAGGCCAUCCUCAUCAUGUAAAAGAAUAAAUAAGAGAAAAACCAUGCAAUUGAAUAUUUUGCACAGAACCUUAUUUCCUUACUCACCUGAAACUUGAGACCAAGGCGACACAGAUAUUCUGGGCCUGAGGACCCCUUGCACAUAAUUUUGAUAGAGACAUCUCUUGGAUCUGAGACCAGUAGGUGAUUAUCACUAUCCCCUUGCUGCACUCCUCUUGUGAGGGAAAGCUGCUGUUGGGUAUGUGGAUGCUAGGGAUCCGGGAACACGAAGGCAUCACCCUGCUUGCAGGUCUUGUAGAACUUUGUCUGCACUGGAGUCAACUUACAGCAGCCAAAGAGAGAAGAGCCGCAGAGACAGACACAAACAGUGAGGAGAACGCAUGUGAAGACACAGCCAUGUGACAACAGAGGCAGAGAUGGGAGUUAUAUAGCUGUAAAUUAAAGAACACAAAGGAUUGCUGACAACCACAAGAAGCUAUGAGAGACAGCAUAGCCCUGCCAAGACCUUGACUCUAGACUUCAGGCCUGAAGAACUGUGAAAGAAGAAUUUUCUGUUAUUGUAAGUCAUCCAGUUCAUGGCAGUUUGUUACUGUAGCCCUAGGAAACUGAGACAGGACCACUUUCACUCUUGGCAGGGGCAGCCAUUUAUUUCAUCUAGAACUGAUGCAUAUUGUGAGUAUAGUUUGCCUUUCCUGCCUGCAGGACCUUGGCCCGCACAACUGAAGGCAUACAGUGAUUGGCCAACACAGAACAGAGACCACUACCUAACAUUGUCUCGGACCAAGGGCCUCACUUUACAGCCAAGAUGGUACAGCAAUAGACACAUUUCUAUGGGAUCCAAUUGGUCGUAUCACAGAACACUACCAAGCAUAUAGUGUCCUCCUAGAGCAACUGAAUGGCUUUUUGAAGGUACAGCUGAGGCAUCGACUUGAGAAUGAUGCCUUAAAAAGAUGGGAUGCCAUCCUCCAGGAUAUAUCUCUGCAACCUGUAGGUCUAGAGUUCCUGGUCCCCAGAUGGGGAGUGUUUCCACUAAGAAAACAGCUAGAGUUUGAUUGAGCUUUAAACUACAGGUACUGCCCAAUCCCUGAAGACCCCUUCUAUCAAGAGAACAGCAGACAAGAAAAGGGGAUAACUGACUUUAAUCAUCUUCAGGAGGAGGUGGGGCUGCUGAUAUACGACGCAGACAAGGAAGAAUACCUUUGGCACCUAUGUGAACCACUAUAUCAUCUCUUGCAUCUCCCUUGCCAAAUUUUGACAGUAAACGGACAAGUGCAGGAGCCAUAUCCUAAGAAGGCCAUGAUAAUUAGAUCACAUCUUUAGGGGAUAAGGGGCUGCGUCAUGCCUUCUGUAAGUCACUGAGACCAACAGAAGUGCUAGUAGGGGGUGAGGGGAAUCUAGAAAAUGUGGUGGAGAAGGGGAAUUAUGAGUUACAAGCUUGAGUAACUUGAGUAAUUAGUUACUUGAGUAAUUAGGUGCAAUCACCAAACUUCCUCUUGUAAAUUUCCCCAGAAAAGAGAACAAGCAGAAUCCCGAUGCUGUAGUGCAGCACCCAAAUCCACCACGGCACUCAUUCCCCGAGCUGCCUGGAGUGUUGACUGCUGACAGGUUAUAGUUGACUCUCUCUGGAAGAAUUGCUUUUGGCCGAAGGGAGCUGCCUUACCCAAUGUGAUAUCAUAUUCUCUUCGUGGAAGUAGUCCAGAUGCAACAUUUGGUAGAUGUGGGGGUUAAAAGGCCUGGCCCCUUUACCCAAUUUGGGACAUCUCUGAAGAGCCCACCAGCUCCAGAGCUCCCCAUGAUAUCCACCGAGGCCUCUGAUGAACCCGCACCACGGUUCAACUUCUCCCUCUACCCCACCCUACUUGUCUCACUCCUUCUCAGGUAUUGACUGCAAGGACAUAAACUUCUGCACAUAAAUUCCCAUCUCAGAGUCUGUUUCCCAGGGAACCCAAGCCAAGACAAGGGUUUACUGUGGAACUUUAGCAGCUGAUCCUAAAAUGUAUAUGCAAGUGAAAAAUCCAGGAAUAAUCAAGAAACUCCUCAAGAAGAACAGAGUUGGGAAAUGGGUGGUGGUGCUGGAGGGACCUGCACUAUCAGACAUCAAGACUUGUCAUAAAGAUGUGGGAAAUUAAAUGUAUACCUUUGCAACAUAAAAACACAGAUAAACAACUAAUGGAGAACUGAACAUAGACCCAAACAUAGACGAAAGCUUGAAUCGUGAGAGCGGAUCUCAGGGAUCAUUGAAGGAAAGAUGGACUGUUCAGUAAUUGUGUUGUGAAAAUUCACUGUUUCAUACUAUAUGCAAAACUAAAAUCCAAGUGGAUUAGUGACUUAAACGUAGAAGAUAAAACUAUAAACUUUUAGAUGAGAGCAUAAGAGAGUAUCUUUAUCACAUCAGGGUUGGGAAGGAUUUCUUAAACAAGACACAAAAAAGCAUAAGCCAUAAAAGGAAAAAUUAAUGUUUGACUAUAUUAAAAUUAAGGACUUCUUGUCAUCAAAAGUCCCCAUGAACAAAAUGAAAAACUAAUUCACAAACUAGAAAAAUAUAUUUGAAAUUUAUACAGCUAUAAAGGAUUACUGUCUAGAAUGUAUAAAGAAACCCUACAGACCAAUAAGAAAAAGUAAAUCCUCCAGUUUUGAAAUGAAAGACACGAGCAGGUAUCUUUUACCACAUUAAUAUAAAUCUUUAAAAAGCAAUUUAUAAUAAAAUGAGAAGUGUCUAAAAAUUUAUACACAAGAUAUACACACGUUUGGCCAGGGAAGGUGUUUGUUGGUUUUCAGACUAUAAAUGUAGACUAACACUCAUAUAUUUUGCUCAUCUACGUACAGUUCUUGAUACUUUUCCAGUGAUUUCAAUCUUCACUAAAACCCCAUCUUAAAAAAUAUUCUUAACAUGCUAUUUAACUAUUAAGCAAAAAUUGGCUUCAUCUCUACUAUUCAAGCACAAUUCUUAAAAGAAUUAAAAUUAACUAAUUGAAAUUCUUAAUCUUUAAUUAAAAUUAAUUACAAAUUAGAAUUCUUUAAUGUGUGUGUAAUAGUUGUGAAAAGGUAUUUUAUAUAUUUAUACACUAUAAAUAUUGGAGCUUUUUACCGAAGUAAAAUUGACAUACAAUAUUAUAUUAAUUUCAGAUUUACAACAUGGUGCUUCAACAUUUAUAUACAUUACAAAAUGAUCAUCACAAAAAGUCUAGUUACAAUCUGUCCCCAUAAAAUGUUAAUACAAUAUUAUUGUCUAUAUUCCCUGUGCUGUACAUUACAUCCCCAUGACUUAUUUAUUUUAUAACUGAAAGCUGAUACCUCUUUAUCCCUUCACCCAUUAGAGAAUUUAUUUUUAAAAACCAGCUCAUAGAGAAUUUCUGAUUCAGUAGAUUUGAAGUGUGGUAUAAACUACCCAGGGAAUAUCAACUCGAAAUGGAGUAUUUGACCAUACCCCUCUCACUUUCCACUAGUCUAGAAAUAUCAGAUAUGUUACUCAUGUUCUGUCUCUCCUCUCACACUCAGUCCUUGGCAGUUAUCACUAACGAAUUAGCAUCUUUUCUAUCAGGGUACCAACCUUCUCUCCCAAUUCCUUUCUACAGAGUGCUCUGGGGAGCCACUAUCAAUUCCUUAGAGUUGGCAAAAUAAAUAAAACUUACUUGCCAUCUCUAGUCUAGAUCAAGCGGCAUGGUAAAAAGACAUUUUUCAUUUUGCCCUUCAGGAAUAUUCUGUUCCUACCAAUAACAGAGACAAGAUUUUUUUCUCUCAUCCGCAAGCACCGCUAUUUGCAAUAUGAAGCACCAAACCCAGAAUCAGAAAGACUUUGAAUGAACACUGGCACACAUUGCCGUCUUCUAAUGCAAGAAGAGUUUGUUUUAGUAAAGCCAAUCUUAUUUUUAGUCCUAGUCACUUUAGUCAGUGUAACCAAAAUUAUGUAAACUUUCUAAAUAGACUAAAUAUUCUAAAAAUACAGUAAGACACCAGCCUCCACACCAACCAAGUCACAAUAUGGGUGUCUGACCUAAACCCACAAAAUGAGAAUGAUGGGAAGGUCAUUUAUCAGACUGCAGUGACCACGAUACGCUCCCAUCACACAGUCAAAAGCAAAGGCAACCAAAUGGCUGUUACUCAAAGUGAUUCUGUCACCUUUGGGAAAGCAUUUCAUGCUGGCAUACUGUAAAUGCUUAUCACAUUAGACCUACAAUUUAAAUUCAGUAAUUAUAUCAGUGUGUCUUCUGAAUAUUUUUCCAAACUUUGGAAAAUGAUGGAACUAUUUGCAGCUCUGUAACUGAGCCUUCAGAUUCUCCUUUGAAGAAAUAUGAGUGUGGGCUGUGGAAAAAGAAUUUGUUUCAAUCAGUUUGUUACCACUUAUCGUGCAGCCUUGGGUAUUUUGAAUCCUAACUGAACUGCUUUGACCGUUAGGAAGAAUUGUGAAAACACCAAACAUUGUGAUACAGGAACAGUUUGUCUACAUUUGCAGGUUGCAAGCAAUAAGGCUUCUUUCUCUAAGCAUUUAAUGCUGUACCCAUGAGGUCAUGAACACAUCCACUCAGUUGCUGGAUUCUGGCUGCUGUCUUUUUUCUCAUCUCCUCCUGUAAGGAGGAGCCCAAUGGUGGUCCCACUACUGAUGCCUUUAAAUUAGUGAGGCACAUUUGAUAAAAUAGAGAAAUGUGUUUUCCUUUUUAUGGCUACUUUCUAUGGGAAGAGCAGCAAAGCUGCUGCCUUACACCUACUGCACUGUCUGUAUUUACUCGAAAAUAUUUCAAUUUGUACCAUAUUAUGUGUAAGUUAUCUUCAAUUUAUAGUCUGGAGAAGUCAGUUAACAUUUAAGGUUUACUAAUCCUGAAUUCACACUCCAUGGUGGGUUAGUUAGCCCUUGAGAAACCCUAUAAGGUGUCUACUCUCUAGAAGUGAAUACGAAAAGUACUUUAAAUUGCAAGGUCUAAAUCUCCACUACUGCAUUUGUUGAUUAAAAAUGAGUUUUCAGUGGUGAAAUGAGUGGUCAUCAAGAUAUGUGAUUAGCAAGGAAGAUUAGUGUGGGCUCCUCCGCACUUUCACAAAUAGGGUAAAGGAAUCUGAGCUUAACAUUCUAACACUUUUGCAGCAAAUAAAGCCUUAGGACCAGACCUCCAUAUGCCACCAGAGUCCCACUCUUCCACAGCAACCACUUAAUGGAGGGUUUGUCAUCUAGUAAAUUAGUAAGAAUGAAAAGAAGCGUCUUGCUUCAACAUUUUUCUUGCAUUUCCUUUGCGAUAAACCUUUAAAGCAAGGUGCUCUGAGACUGUGGUAAGGACAGAGAGUAGGGACUUUAGACUGCUUAGAGGAACAGCUAGAUCGUUUGGGUGACUGCUUGCUAAUAAACGUACAUGCAAAAAAUUAGGUUUGAGACUGGCUUUGAUUUAAGAGAUCACUGUGAGAUUGGGACGAAGAAGUCAUAGUUCCCUCCUACCUCUAGUCGUUAAAGGCUACUCAGUUAUCCAAGAGCCAGAAACUGUCUUAUGACAGUUCUCAACAACUCGGAUAUGACUAUAAAAAGACAAAAUGAGCAAUAAUAUCUAUUGAUGGCACGGGUGUGGUGAAAAACGUGGAUAUGUAAAUGCUUACAGUCUUUUUGGAAAACACCUGACAAUAUCUAUUAAAAUUAGAAAUUUGCAUACACUUCACUCCAACAGUCUAACUUUUGGGACUCUAUCUUAUGGGUAUAAGGGUAUCAGAAUAUAUAAAAGGAAAUAUAUAAAAAAAUUACUGCAGCAUUGUUUAAAGUGGCAAAAAAUAAAGUGUAAGCAAGAUGAAUGUCAAUCAAAUGGAAAAUGAUUCAAUAUAUUAUUCGUGGAAUAUUAUGUAAUAUUAGCAACUAUUGUUAAAGAAUAAUUAAGCUAUGCGAACUGACAUGGGGCUUGGGGGUAUUCCAAAAUGUGUUGAAUGAGGAAAAUGACCUGUAGGGAAGAGUAUUUAAUAUUAUAUUUUUGUAAAGUAAACAAUUACGAAAAAGUGCAUGCAAUGUGUAUAUACAUAGGAUCACAAAAGGAUACAUAAUCCAGGGAGUGGAAGCAGCAAUGAAAGCGAAGGAUGGGGAGGGGAAGUGAGGUAAGCAGAAAAUCAAACUUGGGAGAAGAUGACUAAUAAAGGAUCCAUACUAUGAUAGGAUUUGUAUAGAAUCCUAUGUGCAUACGUAGGCUUAUAGAAGUUAGAAGAACAAGGUGGAUCUCUCCUACUGACUUCUAGGGAGGGGUGGGUGAUUGCUAGCUUUGCCCAUUUCUGAACUGUAUUAUGUUGUUUCACUUAUUACAACACAAAUGUAUUACUUUUGAAAUUUGAAAAGAAGCAAAACAUGCAAAUGAUAGAUUCUGGAUAUUUAAAAUUUUCUAACUAAUUCCAGGGGAAAAAAGACUUUUUGAAUAUUUUUGAAUAAUUUUUAUGUAAAUAAUUCGUUUAAAACUAUUAAAGCGUCAUUAAAUUCACCAGUAUACUGAAUCCUUAUUGGAAAUCCUUAAGCUCCUUAUUUUGACCAAAGUGUACUUAAAGUUAAUUCAAACACAGCACUGAAAUUCUUAAGCAACUACUUAACUAAAGCUGUCAAAGUAAUAUUUUCAUUGUCAUUUUUGCAUAGGAGUAACACGUCUGGCAUUUGAGAGCUAUCAAAAAUCGCAUUUUAUGGCUGUUACUAUAUGCCAGGCAUUAUGACUUUUUUUGGGGAACUAUAAUUUACAUACAGUGAAAUCCACACUUUAGUCCUCCAAGAAACAGAUGCCAAGAUGGGAAUAAACGUGUAUUAUAUUGGCAAGUGUUUGCUGCUGUUUUAUUAAUUUUAGCCAUGGUAAUACGAGUUUAGUUGUUUCCCACUGAUACCUUUUACACAGAACUAUAUAAACAACCCCAUACAGCAGGUGGAAUCUGUAGAACAGAUAUAUUUUAAAUAGCUUGCCAAUUCAGAGCUGGUCUGAUCUCUAAAACGGUGCCUGUAACCACAGGUCACCUGUCUCUGGGAUCCUGAGUCUUCCUUCAGUAAUGGUUGGUUAUGCACGUGGUUUUACUUAGAGGCAAAGGGGCGUGGAAUAUAUUUCCAGAUUAUUUCCUCAGUUCAAGAGGUGAUCAAUAUCACAAAACCUUUAGAAACUUUGUCCUCGCUUAUCUUGGGUAAUGAGACUACAGAAAACAAGGAGAAGUAGAAAACAGAGAUGAAAAGUCAUCCAAACUCUAUUUAGGAAGCACAUAAGUUUAAAAUAAAGUUGAUGGUGGUUGAGGAAAAAGAAAUAUGAAAAACUAACAUCAGUGGUAAGCUCAGCGAGGCUACUGUAAAAUGAGUUAAGUUUACUAAAGUAAAUUUUCCCUGACGUGCUUCAUAUGUCAUGAUGACACAUUAGUAAAAAUCAGUUUUACUUUUUAGAAUGAUAGCAUAAAAUGCAGAAGAAACAAGAACACGUGAAUGGUGUUCAAUCCUCUAUCUUUAUGAUUCUGAUUUUUGUGAAAUUAGUAGAGCGGUUCUACUGAAAACUGGCAUUACUAAUCAUGAUGCGCCCUCUAAGGAAUUCAUUUGAUGGGAGGUGAGGUGGAAGAGAAGUUAAACAAAACCUUUGUGGGGUUUUCUUUGAUGUUGUUUUCGGUCUUUUGUUUCUGGCAGGUGUUAGAGCGCAGUUAGGGAAAAUGUGCAGUGGUAGAGAAAUAGGGUUGUGAUUUGGAG